rnacentral:rRNA from 1 species
CAGCAGCCGCGGUAAUUCCAGCUCCAAUAGCGUAUAUUAAAGUUGUUGUGGUUAAAAAGCUCGUAGUUGGAUUUCGGCAGGCAUAGGUUGGUUUGAAUCGCUUCAACACUGACUUCUUUGCCUGUGUGUUUUGCCAGAAUUCAGCUGGUGAUCUUUACCGAUUGUCCGUUGGAGCUGGCAGGUUUACUUUGAAAAAAUUAGAGUGCUCAAAGCAAGCUUGAUUGCUUGAAUAUUCGUGCAUGGAAUAAUAGAAUAGGAAGUCGUUUCUAUUUUGUUGGUUUUCGGAGAUUGACUUAAUGAUUAAUAGGGAUAGUCGGGGGCAUUUGUAUUCAAACGACAGAGGUGAAAUUCUUGGACCGUUUGAAGACAAACUACUGCGAAAGCAUUUGCCAAGAAUGUUUUCAUUAAUCAAGAACGAAAGUUAGAGGUUCGAAGGCGAUUAGAUACCGCCCUAGUUCUAACCAUAAACGAUGCCAGCUAGCGAUCCGCAAGCGUUUUAUUUUCUGACUUUGCGGGGAGCUUCCGGGAAACCAAAGCUAUCGGGUUCCAGGGGAAGUAUGGUUGCAAAGCUGAAACUUAAAAGAAUUGACGGAAGGACACCACCAGGGGUGGAGCCUGUGGCUUAAUUUGACUCAACACGGG